AUCCAUAUAGUUUAAGCAAACAUUACAUUUUCACUGUAAAAAUAAUACAAAAGUAUUUAUAGAUA
rnacentral:tRNA from 1 species